GACGAACGCUGGCGGCGUGCUUAACUCAUGCAAGUCGAGCGGAGCGGCGAACGGGCGAGUAACGCGUGAGUAACUGCCCCCCUCUCUGGGAUAACAGUUGGAAACGGCUGCUAAUACCGGAUAGUUGGGGAUGAGUCGCGUCCUAUCAGCUUGUUGGUGGGGUAGUGUCAUACCAAGGCGACGACGGGUAGCCGGCCUGGGAGGGCGACCGGCCACAUGGGGCUGGGAUACGAGCCAAACGCCUACGUGAGGCAGCGGUGGGGAAUAUUGCACAAUGGGGGAAAGCCUGUGGCAGCAACGCGCGUGCGGAAGGACGGCCAUCGGGUUGUAAACGUCUUUCAGCCAUGACGCGUUAGUGGCAGAAGAAGCACCGGCUAACUACGUGCCAGCAGCCGCGGUAAUUC
rnacentral:rRNA from 1 species